rnacentral:lncRNA from 1 species
GGGCUUGCCUGGUUGCUCUGGCAAGAAGGAGGUGUCGUCAACUCCGUAGUCGAACUGGGCAGUAGCAGCGUCGGUCUCGUAGUCUACCGGAGAGAAGAGGGGGAAGAAACAGUAAAUACAAUGCAAACAUAAGCAUGACGAUGCAUGACAUGUCAAGUAACGGUGACAGGUGUGUCGUAACGCAGUAAGUGGUGAUACCGGCGAAGGGUGCAAACAUCAGGGAAAGUAUCCCCGGUGUUUCGCGUUUUCGGAUAGAUGAACCGGAUGGGGAAAGUUGCGUGUUCACUAUGCUAGGGAUGGGUGGCGGACGAACGGGCUGGGUAUUCGGAUUCGCCUCGUCGUUUUGAGCAACUUUCAUGUACAAAGUUUUUUCAUCCGAGCUACGGUUUAUUUUAUAUUAAUUUUCAAAGUUUUAAAAGAUUUUCUAAUUUACUAGAAUUAAUUUAAUUCAAAUUUAAAUAGCUAAAAUUAUUAUGUGUACCCAGCUGUGGACUAGCCACAGUGGAUGACAGGUGGGGCCAGUGGGCCCCAGUCAACACUAAGUCAGCCCGGUCAACAUUGACUAGUCAAAGGUGAACAGUAAUUGUGGGUCCCAGCUAUCAUUGAGUUAAUUUUUUUAGUUAGAAAAAUUAGUUUAAUUAUCCCAGGGCCGACAUAUCAUUGGCCCAUUUGAAGGAAAUAUGCCCUAGAGGCAAUAAUAAAGUUAUUAUUUAUUUCCUUAUAUCAUGAUAAAUGUUUAUUAUUCAUUCUAGAAUUGUAUUAACCGGAAACAUAAUACUUGUGUGAAUACAUAGACAAAUAGAGUGUCACUAGUAUGCCUCUACUUGACUAGCUCGUUGAUCAAAGAUGGUUAUGUUUCCUAGCCAUAGACAUGAGUUGUCAUUUGAUUAACGGGAUCACAUCAUUAGGAGAAUGAUGUGAUUGACUUGACCCAUUCCGUUAGCUUAGCACUCGAUCGUUUAGUAUGUUGCUAUUGCUUUCUUCAUGACUUAUACAUGUUCCUAUGACUAUGAGAUUAUGCAACUCCCGUUUACCGGAGGAACACUUUGUAUGCUACCAAACGUCACAACGUAACUGGGUGAUUAUAAAGGUGCUCUACAGGUGUCUCCAAAGGUACUUGUUGGGUUGGCGUAUUUCGAGAUUAGGAUUUGUCACUCCGAUUGUCGGAGAGGUAUCUCUGGGCCCACUCAGUAAUACACAUCACUAUAAGCCUUGCAAGCAUUGUGACUAAUGAGUUAGUUGCGGGAUGAUGUAUUACGGAACGAGUAAAGAGACUUGCCGGUAACGAGAUUGAACUAGGUAUCGAGAUACCGACGAUCGAAUCUCGGGCAAGUAACAUACCGAUGACAAAGGGAACAACGUAUGUUGUUAUGCGGUCUGACCGAUAAAGAUCUUCGUAGAAUAUGUGGGAACCAAUAUGAGCAUCCAGGUUCCGCUAUUGGUUAUUGACCGGAGAGGUGUCUCGGUCAUGUCUACAUAGUUCUCGAACCCGUAGGGUCCGCACGCUUAACGUUACGAUGAUAGUUAUAUUAUGAGUUUAUAUGUUUUGAUGUACCGAAGGUUGUUCGGAGUCCCGGAUGUGAUCACGGACAUGACGAGGAGUCUCGAAAUGGUCGAGACAUAAAGAUUGAUAUAUUGGAAGCCUAUGUUUGGAUAUCGGAAGUGUUCCGGGUGAAAUCGGGAUUUUUCCGGAGUACCGGGAGGUUACCGGAACCCCCCGGUAACUUAAUAGGCCUUAGUGGGCCUAGGUGGAAGAGAGGAGAGGAGGCCAGGGCAGGGCCGCACGCCCCUCCCCCCCAGUCCGAAUAGGACAAGGAGAGGGGGGCGGCGCCCCCCCUUUCCUUCCUCCCCUCCACCUCUUCCCCCUCUCUCUCCUAGUCCAACAUGGAAAAGGGGGGAAGUCCUACUCCCGGUAGGAGUAGGACUCCUCCUGGCGCGCCUCUCCCCUUGGCCGGCCAAAACCCCCUUGCUCCUUUAUAUACGGGGGCAGGGAGGCACCUCUAGACACACAAUUGAUCAACGAUCUCUUAUCCGUGUGCGGUGCCCCCCUCCACCAUAUUACACCUCGAUAAUAUCGUAGCGGUGCUUAGGCGAAGCCCUGCGUCGGUCACCACGCCGUCGUGCUGACGAAACUCUCCCUCAACACUCGGCUGGACCGGAGUUUGAGGGGCGUCAUCGAGCUGAACGUGUGCUGAACUCGGAGGUGCCGUACGUUCGGUACUUGAUCGGUCGGAUCGUGAAGACGUACGACUACAUCAACCGCGUUGUGUUAACGCUUCCGCUUUCGGUCUACGAGGGUACGUGGACAACACUCUCCUCUCUCGUUGCUAUGCAUCACCAUGAUCUUGCGUGUGCGUAGGAAUUUUUUUGAAAUUACUACGUUCCCCAACAGUGGCAUCUGAGCCUGGUUUUAUGCGUUGAUGUUAUAUGCACGAGUAGAACACAAGUGAGUUGUGGGCGAUAUAAGUCAUACUGCUUACCAGCAUGUCAUAUUUUGGUUCAGCGGUAUUGUGAGAUGAAGCGGCCCGGACCGACAUUACGCGUACGCUUACGCGAGACUGGUUUCACCGUUGCGAGCACUCGUUGCUUAAAGGUGACUGGCGGGUGUCUGUCUCUCUCACUUUAGUUGAAUCGAGUGUGGCUACGCCCGGUCCUUGCGAAGGUUAAAACAACACCAACUUGACAAACUAUCGUUGUGGUUUUGAUGCGUAGGUAAGAACGGUUCUUGCUAAGCCCGUGGCAGCCACGUAAAACUUGCAACAACAAAGUAGAGGACCUCUAACUUGUUUUUGCAGGGCAUGUUGUGAUGUGAUUUGGUCAAGACAUGAUGCUAUAUUUUAUUGUAUGAGAUGAUCAUGUUUUGUAACCGAGUUAUCGGCAACUGGCAGGAGCCAUAUGGUUGUCGCUUUAUUGUAUGCAAUGCAAUCGCCAUGUAAUUGUUUUACUUUAUCACUAAGCGGUAGCGAUAGUCGUAAAAGCAAUAGUUGGCGAGACGACAACGAUGCUACGAUGGAGAUCAAGGUGUCGCGCCAAUGACGAUGGUGAUCAUGACGGUGCUUCGGAGAUGGAGAUCACAAGAACAAGAUGAUGAUGGCCAUAUCAUAUCACUUAUAUUGAUUGCAUGUGAUGUUUAUCUUUUAUGCAUCUUAUCUUGCUUUGAUUAACGGUAGCAUUAUAAGAUGCUCUCUCACUAAAAUUUCAAGAUAAAAGUGUUCUCUCUGAGUAUGCACCGUUGCCAAAGUUCGUCGUGCCCAGACACCACGUGAUGAUUGGGUGUGAUAACUCUACGUCCAUCUACAACGGGUGCAAGCCAGUUUUGCACACGCAGAAUACUCAGGUUAAACUUGACGAGCCUAGCAUAUCCAGAUAUGGCCUCGGAACACUGAGACCGAAAGGUCGAGCGUGAAUCAUAUAGUAGAUAUGAUCAACAUAGUGAUGUUCACCAUUGAAAACUACUCCAUUUCACGUGAUGAUCGGUUAUGGUUUAGUUGAUUUGGAUCACGUAAUCACUUAGAUGUUAGAGGGAUGUCUAUCUAAGUGGGAGUUCUUAAGUAAUAUGAUUAAUAGAACUUAAAUUUAUCAUGAACUUAGUACCUGAUAGUAUCUUGCUUGUCUAUGUUAAUUGUAGAUAGAUGGCCCGUGUUGUUGUUCCGUUGAAUUUUAAUGCGUUCCUUGAGAAAGCAAAGUUGAAAGAUGAUGGUAGCAAUUACAUGGACUGGGUCCGUAACUUGAGGAUUAUCCUCAUUGCUGCACAGAAAUAUUACAUCCUGGAAGCACCGCUGGGUGCCAGGCCUGCUGCAAGAGCAACACCAGAGGUUAUGAACGUCUGGCAGAGCAAAGCUGAUGACUACUCAAUAGUUCAGUGUGCCAUGCUUUACGGCUUAGAACCGGGUCUUCAACGACGUUUUGAACGUCAUGGAGCAUAUGAGAUGUUCCAGGAGUUGAAGUUAAUAUUUCAAGCAAAUGCCCGGAUUGAGAGAUAUGAAGUCUCCAAUAAGUUCUACAGCUGCAAGAUGGAAGAGAAUAGUUCUGUCAGUGAGCAUAUACUCAAAAUGUUUGGGUAUAACAAUCACUUGAUUCAACUAGGAGUUAAUCUUCCAGGAUGAUAGCGUCAUUGACAGAAUUCUUAAAUCACUGCCACCAAGCUACAAGAGCUUCGUGAUGAACUAUAACAUGCAAGGGAUGAAUAAGACAAUUCCCGAGCUCUUCGAAAUGCUAAAGGCAGCGGAGGUAGAAAUCAAAAAGGAGCAUCAAGUGUUGAUGGUCAAUAAGACCACUAGUUUCAAGAAAAAGGGCAAAGGGAAGAAGAAGGGGAACUUCAAGAAGAACAACAAGCAAGUUGCUGUUCAGGAGAAGAAACCCAAAUCUGGACCUAAGCCUGAGACUGAGUGCUUCUACUGCAAGCAGACUGGUCACUGGAAGCGGAACUGCCCCAAGUAUUUGGUGGAUAAGAAGGAUGGCAAGGUGAACAAAGGUAUAUGUGAUAUACAUGUUAUUGAUGUGUACCUUACCAGAGCUCGCAGUAGCACCUGGGUAUUUGAUACUGGUUCUGUUGCUAAUAUUUGCAACUCGAAACAGGGACUACGGAUUAAGCGAACACUGGCCAAGGACGAGGUGACGAUGCGCGUGGGAAACGGUUCCAAAGUCGAUGUGAUCGCCGUCGGCACGCUACCUCUACAUCUACCUUCAGGAUUAGUAUUAGACCUAAAUAAUUGUUAUUUGGUGCCAGCGUUGAGCAUGAUCAUUAUAUCUGGAUCUGGUUUAAUGCGAGACAGUUAUUCAUUUAAAUCAGAGAAUAAUGGUUGUUCUAUUUAUAUGAGUAAUAUCUUUUAUGGUCAUGCACCCUUGAAGAGUGGUCUAUUUUUAAUGAAUCUCGGUAGUAGUGACACACAUAUUCAUAAUGUCGAAGCCAAAAGAUGCAGAGUUGAUAAUGACAAUGCAACUUAUUUGUGGCACUGCCGUUUAGGUCAUAUCGGUGUAAAGCGCAUGAAGAAACUCCAUAAUGAUGGACUUUUGGAAUCACUUGAUUAUGAAUCACUUGGUACUUGCGAACCGUGUCUCAUGGGCAAGAUGACUAAAACACCAUUCUCCGGAACUAUGGAGAGAGCAACUAAUUUGUUGGAAAUCAUACAUACAGAUGUAUGUGGUCCGAUGAAUAUUGAGGCUCGUGGCGAAUAUCGUUAUUUUCUCACCUUCACAGAUGAUUUGAGCAGAUAUGGGUAUAUCUACUUAAUGAAACAUAAGUCUGAAACAUUUGAAAAGUUCAAAGAAUUUCAGAACAAAGUUGAAAAUCAUCGUAAAAAGAAAAUAAAGUUUCUACGAUCAGAUCAUGGAGGAGAAUAUUUGAGUUACGAGUUUGGCCUACAUUUGAAACAAUGCGGAAUAGUUUCGCAACUCAUGCCACCCGGAACACCACAACGUAAUGGUGUGUCCGAACGUCGUAAUCGUACUUUACUAGAUAUGGUGCGAUCUAUGAUGUCUCUUACUGAUUUACCGCUAUCGUUUUGGGGUUAUGCUUUAGAGACGGCUGCAUUCACUCUAAAUAGGGCACCAUCGAAAUCCGUUGAGACGUCGCCUUAUGAACUAUGGUUUGGCAAGAAACCAAAGUUGUCGUUUCUUAAAGUUUGGGGUUGCGAUGCUUAUGUGAAGAAACUUCAACCUGAUAAGCUCGAACCUAAAUUGGAGAAAUGUGUCUUCAUAGGAUACCCAAAGGAGACUGUUGGGUACAACUUCUAUCACAGAUCCGAGGGCAAGACAUUCGUUGCUAAGAAUGGAUCCUUUCUAGAGAAGGAGUUUUUCUCGAAAGAAGUGAGUGGGAGGAAAGUAGAACUUGAUGAGGUAACUGUACCUGCUCCCUUAUUGGAAAGUAGAUCAUCACAGAAACCAGUUUCUGCGACACCUACACCAAUUAGUGAGGAAGAUAAUCAUAAUGAUCAUGAAACUUCAGAUCAAGUUAUUACUGAACCUCGUAGGUCAACCAGAUUAAGAUCCGCACCACAGUGGUACAGUAAUCCUGUUCUGGAGGUUAUGUUACUAGACCAUGACGAACCUACAAACUAUGAAGAAGCGAUGGUGAGCCCAGAUUCCGCAAAAUGGCUUGAGGCCAUGAAAUCCGAGAUGGGAUCCAUGUAUGAGAACAAAGUAUGGACUUUGGUUGACUUGCCCGAUGAUCGGCAAGCCAUUGAAAAUAAAUGGAUCUUCAAGAAGAAGAUUGACGUUGACGGUAACGUUACUGUCUAUAAAGCUCGACUUGUUGCGAAAGGUUUUCGACAAGUUCAAGGGAUUGACUACGAUAAGACCUUCUCACCCGUAGCGAUGCUUAAGUCUGUCCGAAUCAUGUUAGCAAUUGCCGCAUUUUAUGAUUAUGAAAUUUGGCAAAUGGAUGUCAAAACUGCAUUCCUGAAUGGAUUUCUGGAAGAAGAAUUGUAUAUGAUGCAACCGGAAGGUUUUGUCGAUCCAAAGGGAGCUAACAAAGUGUGCAAGCUCCAGCGAUCCAUUUAUGGACUGGUGCAAGCCUCUCGGAGUUGGAAUAAACGCUUUGAUAGUGUGAUCAAAGCAUUUGGUUUUAUACAGAAUUUUGGAGAAGCCUGUAUUUACAAGAAAGUGAGUGGGAGCUCAGUAUCAUUUCUGAUAUUAUAUGUGGAUGACAUAUUGCUAAUUGGAAAUGAUAUAGAAUUUCUGGAUAGCAUAAAGGGAUACUUGAAUAAGAGUUUUUCAAUGAAAGACCUCGGUGAAGUUGCAUAUAUAUUGGGCAUCAAGAUCUAUAGAGAUAGAUCAAGACGCUUAAUUGGACUUUCACAAAGCACAUACCUUGACAAAGUUUUGAAGAAGUUCAAAAUGGAUCAAGCAAAGAAAGGGUUCUUGCCUGUAUUACAAGGUGUGAGAUUGAGUAAGACUCAAUGCCCGACCACUGCAGAAGAUAGAGAGAAGAUGAAAGAAGUUCCUUAUGCUUCAGCCAUAGGCUCUAUCAUGUAUGCAAUGCUGUGUACCAGACCUGAUGUGUGCCUUGCUAUAAGUUUAGCAGGGAGGUACCAAAGUAAUCCAUGAGUGGAUCACUGGACAGCGGUCAAGAACAUCCUGAAAUACCUGAAAAGGACUAAGGAUAUGUUUCUCGUUUAUGGAGGUGACAAAGAGCUCAUCGUAAAUGGUUACGUUGAUGCAAGCGUUGACACUGAUCCGGACGAUUCUAAAUCGCAAACCGGAUACGUGUUUACAUUGAACGGUGGAGCUGUCAGUUGGUGCAGUUCUAAGCAAAGUGUCGUGGCGGGAUCUACGUGUGAAGCGGAGUACAUAGCUGCUUCGGAAGCAGCAAAUGAAGGAGUUCAUAUCCGAUCUAGGUGUCAUACCUAGUGCAUCGGGACCAAUGAAAAUCUUUUGUGACAAUACUGGUGCAAUUGCCUUAACAAAGGAAUCCAGAUUUCACAAAAGAACCAAGCACAUCAAAAGACGCUUCAAUUCCAUCCGGGAUUUAGUCCAGGUGGGAGACAUAGAAAUUUGCAAGAUACAUACGGAUCUGAAUGUUGCAGACCCGUUGACUAAGCCUCUUCCACGAGCAAAACAUGAUCAACACCAAGACUCCAUGGGUGUAAGAAUCAUUACUGUGUAAUCUAGAUUAUUGACUCUAGUGCAAGUGGGAGGCUGAAGGAAAUAUGCCCUAGAGGCAAUAAUAAAGUUAUUAUUUAUUUCCUUAUAUCAUGAUAAAUGUUUAUUAUUCAUGCUAGAAUUGUAUUAACCGGAAACAUAAUACUUGUGUGAAUACAUAGACAAACAGAGUGUCACUAGUAUGCCUCUACUUGACUAGCUCGUUGAUCAAAGAUGGUUAUGUUUCCUAGCCAUAGACAUGAGUUGUCAUUUGAUUAACAGGAUCACAUCAUUAGGAGAAUGAUGUGAUUGACUUGACCCAUUCCGUUAGCUUAGCACUCGAUCGUUUAGUAUGUUGCUAUUGCUUUCUUCAUGACUUAUACAUGUUCCUAUGACUAUGAGAUUAUGCAACUCCCGUUUAUCGGAGGAACUCUUUGUAUGCUACCAAACAUCACAACAUAACUGGGUGAUUAUAAAGGUGCUCUACAGGUGUCUCCAAAGGUACUUGUUGGGUUGGCGUAUUUCGAAAUUAGGAUUUGUCACUCCGAUUGUCGGAGAGGUAUCUCUGGGCCCACUCAGUAAUACACAUCACUAUAAGCCUUGCAAGCAUUGUGACUAAUGAGUUAGUUGCGGGAUGAUGUAUUACGGAACGAGUAAAGAGACUUGCCGGUAACGAGAUUGAACUAGGUAUCGAGAUACCGACGAUCGAAUCUCGGGCAAGUAACAUACCGAUGACAAAGGGAACAACGUAUGUUGUUAUGCGGUCUGACCAAUAAAGAUCUUCGUAGAAUAUGUGGGAACCAAUAUGAGCAUCCAGGUUCCGCUAUUGGUUAUUGACCGGAGAGGUGUCUCGGUCAUGUCUACAUAGUUCUCGAACCCGUAGGGUCCGCACGCUUAACGUUACGAUGACAGUUAUAUUAUGAGUUUAUAUGUUUUGAUGUACCGAAGGUUGUUCGGAGUCCCGGAUGUGAUCACGGACAUGACGAGGAGUCUCGAAAUUGUCGAGACAUAAAGAUUGAUAUAUUGGAAGCCUAUGUUUAGAUAUCGGAAGUGUUCCGGGUGAAAUCGGGAUUUUUCCGGAGUACCGGGAGGUUACCGGAACCCCCCGGUAACUUAAUGGGCCUUAGUGGGCCUAGGUGGAAGAGAGGAGAGGAGGCCAGGGCAGGGCCGCCCGCCCCUCCCCCCAGUACAAAUAGGACAAGGAGAGGGGGGCGGCGCCCCCCUUUCCUUCCUCCCCUCCACCUCUUCCCCCUCUCUCUCCUAGUCCAACAUGGAAAAGGGGGGAAGUCCUACUCCCGGUAGGAGUAGGACUCCUCCUGGCGCGCCUCUCCCCUUGGCAGGCCGAAACCCCCUUGCUCCUUUAUAUACGGGGCCAGGGGGCACCUCUAGACACACAAUUGAUCAACGAUCUCUUAGCCGUGUAUGGUGCCCCCCUCCACCAUAUUACACCUCGAUAAUAUCGUAGCGGUGCUUAGGCGAAGCCCUGCGUCGGUAGAACAUCAUCAUUGUCACCACGCCGUCGUGCUGACGAAACUCUCCCUCAACACUCGGCUGGAUCGGAGUUCGAGGGAUGUCAUCGAGCUGAACGUGUGCUGAACUUGGAGGUGCCGUACGUUCGGUACUUGAUCGGUCGGAUCGUGAAGACGUACGACUACAUCAACCGCGUUGUGUUAACGCUUACGCUUUCAGUCUACGAGGGUACGUGGACAACACUCUCCCCUCUCGUUGCUAUGCAUCACCAUGAUCUUGCGUGUGCGUAGGAAUUUUUUUGAAAUUACUAUGUUCCCCAUCACCAUUAACUGAUCUAACACUAAUUGACCUAUAGCUAGAUAAUAAGCAAUUAGUCCUAAACUAAAUGGGCUAUCCCAUAGGCUGUGAGCCAGCCGGCCUCACACGGCUGGGCACGAACGCACGCAUAUGUGAGGCGGCCAAGGCCUGUCCAUGGAGUUGGCUAAGGUAGGCACAACGCCGGGGAGAGGAAGGCAAGCAAGCGGGGCGCAACUGGGCAUGGCAGGCUGGCGCAGGAGCGGGCAGCAGGCGACAGUAGCGCCAACAGCAGCAGAAGAAGAAGUAGUAACAGCAGCAACGUAGCAGCGGGCAGCAGGGGAGCGAGGCCGCGGACAGCGCCGGCGGGGCGCGCGGCCGUGGGCGUGAGGGCGCGGGGCAGGCGCGCGCAGGGGAGCACAGGCUGUAGCAGCGAACGGGCAUACACGAUAGCAGCAACAAUAACGCGGCAGUGGAGGUGGCCGGAGCAAGAGCUGACGAGGAACAACAGCGACCGGAGUACUGUGGUGAACGACGACUACUGGCAUGGAUCGUGCAGGGAAGAGUGGGAAUCGGGUGAGGACCUCACCGCAAUAUCGUAGGCGAGCUCGAGAAGGUCGGGGGUUGAGCGACGAUGACGAAUUCGUCGAUGACGUCGCGGUGGCUGGAGGUUGAAGACGACAUCGAUCCCUGCGAUCCAGGGGCUCCCGGCUCCAACUGGUGGACGUAGUCGAAGGAGUGGACGUCGGUGAAGCUUGCAGAUGAGGUGGCUGGGCGCGGGGAGCUCGGUGGCUACGGGGGCAGUGAGGCAAUGGCCGCGGCAAAGGCGGCCAUGCGAGGAAGAGGAAGAAGCAACGCGAGGCGGAGAGGGGAAAAGGUCCUGGGGGUGCUAGGGUUCGGGGGAGGGGGCUCCUUAUCCGGAGAGGAGCCGUGGGAUGGCCUCCACGGCGCCAUCGAUGGCCAUGGUGGCCUGGAUGGAUGCCACGACCCCCCUCUGGUGAACAGAGGAAGGGGGAGGCGCCUGGGGUUGGCUGGGCCAGCCAUUUGGCUAGAUGGGCCAAAGGUUCAGUAGUUUAGGUCUUUUGUUUUCCCCUGUAGUUUUGUUUUCCUUUUUUUGUUUUCCUCUUAUUUUAAAUAUGUAGGUCAUUUAUAAAAGCACGGUUCUUUCACCAUAAAUAUCUAGACAUUUAUUGCCACGCUCCGAACAUUUUAGUUUUGACUUUUGAAAACUUUAAUUGUUUAAACUUUAAUUCAAAUUUUGAAUUUGAAUCCGUUUCUAACUAACGCGAGAUUAUGAACAGUAACCGAGGUGACGUGGCAUCGUUAACGCGGGAUUACUGUAGCCUAAUUAUCCGGGCAUCACAAAUCUCCUCCACUACAAGAAAUCUCAUCCCGAGAUUUAAGCGGUGGAGUAAGGGGGAAAAGUGCUAGUAGCGAAAACCUAACGAGUCUUCUCGGUCUUGGUUGCUUUUCUCGAACCGGUCGAUCCAUUACAUUGACGUCUUCAUUACUCUGCUUCCAGUCACCAUGAUGAAGUCGGCAUCCUUUCUUCGGAAAAUUCAUCGUACUUACAAAAGGACAAGAGUAACUUCGAAAGAACGGACCUUACAAGGUAUACUAUCUGGCAGAUAACUCAGGGAAUGUGGUAGAAAGUAACUCUCGAAUAGAUACUUAAGAAAAUAUCGAGAGUAAAGUAAGAAGGUACCAUGAGAAGUUUCCAAUGGGCAAGCAAUCGUUCGAUGGCCUAAUUAGAAGGUGGAAGGGGUUCAGAGCAACGAGAACAAGUAUUGCGUCUGAUACCAGAAUAGAUCACUAGGCAGGUGGCCCGUGACUUACAUAUGAAGUCAAGCGCGAGGAAUAACUUUGACAAUAGGGUGUACAGGAGAGUCAGGUUUCGAUCCUAUGGAACUGUGGGUUAUGGUCCCACCAUGUGAGUUAACGGUAGGAAGGGCGGUGGUAUUUGGCAUAGUCAUGAUAACAAGGCAUGUCAGAAGGUAGCCUGUCAGUUAUGCCGGCAACAACAUUGGUACCAAGGGAGAGGGACAAAGAGAACCCUUUUCCCGCUCGUUGUACGAGGCGGACCAUUAGGCAAAGUUCUCGUCCAUCGGUGGAUAUCGGAAUGUCAUCAACAAUAGUAACAGGUUCUUACUGACAAAGUUGUACACCGAGGUGCUUACAAAAACAGUGACUUAUUACUACUUAGAUCAUAUAAACCUCAAGAAGGUUAAACAAAACAAUGGAAAGGAAAAUGUGAUUAUCAGAUUGAACAGAACAAUGGCAAGGAAAAAUGUGUUUAAACACAUAAUUCAGAGAUAUAUCCUUCCCAAGGACAAGCAGAGCAUGAUAUCCAUGACAAGAUAUAAUGUAGAAAACCCUUUAGGUAAGGGGGGAGGAAUCUCAUGAUAUUACCCAUGCAACAGUGUUAGGAUAAAUGAUAAAGAAAAUUUUGCAUUGUGCUUCAAAUGCUCUUAUUGAAAAUCGGAUUACCACAGACAUGCUUCGAGAUAGCAUUGACAUGGUCAUCAAGUAAGGGUCAGAAUUUGGAUGCACAAAUGAUCCAUCAGGAACAACUUAUAGAAUAAGUCUUACGAUUUCCUCAUGGAAGAAUUGCUAACCUUGCUAAAAAGGGAACUAUAUCAAUAGGUUCUCCGGCCAGGUGCGCUAGGCAUGACAUCACCUUAGCGGGUCAUAUAAAGACCAAUGUUAUAACUCUUGGAAAUAUGUUCCAACCAUUACAUCUGACCAAGGUUCAGAUUCGAUUGGCGUUAGGAUACCUCAGACUCAGGAUGUCCGAGAAGAAAAGGUGCAACACAAAUCGAUGAAAUGACAUUGCAAGAUUCUCGGGAAAAGAACUAUGGGAGCGGGUUCCUGAAACAAUAGUUCAUCAUUAAACCAAGGAGAGGAUGAGAAGGUGGCUGAUGGGCUCAACGGCAAUUCAUUGAGAAUUCCAAACGGAUGGAUUUCCACAAUAAUGUGAACAAUAUGACAUUUGUCAAUUCAAAUGAUAUAAUGUUGUAUGCUCUAGGAAAACAUACACCAUCAAUCAUUAGUUGAAAGGUGUGCCCGAAAUAUGACCUUAGGCAGCAAGAUCAAUGUUAGAGUGACGAUUCAGUAACCAACAGUCUAAGAACGAACUGUCGAUCAUUAACUGCAAGACAAUAGGGUUGCUACAAGUACAGAACUCAAACAACAUCGUUAGCAUAUUGGUAUCCUGGUUAAAAACAACACGGGGACCAAGGAAGAAUGGUGAUGGUGAGAAGUAUCAUCAUACCGAGAAUUUCUAAGAGUGGAGCAAUCCCUACAACAUUCUCGACAUAAAAGGCAACAAUACUUCAAGGCAGAGCACAACACUAGCUGGAGAGCAAGUUGUAUUAUAAUGUGGACAAGUUCGCGAUGAAAGGAAGUCAAGGAUGUCGUCGAUGAUAAUAAAAAUCAUCGAGGGCAAGGAGGGUAUUUCUCAUCAUGAACACAGUUGACAUCUCGGAAGAAGUCAAAGUGUUGAAGGUGAUCCGACACAUUUGCCGGGAGGUUUCAAGAGGAUGCAAUCAAACAACAACGACAACAAGCAAGGAAAUGACAAAGUGGCAAGUUAUAGGAUCAAUAUAUAAGAUGCAAGCUCGGAACCAAAGUUGUCUUUCAAGACAAGCAACAUGAUGUUGAAAGCUUGACGUAAGUCAUGCUCACACACUGAAGAAUUCGUGCACCAGAGAAGGACGAGGUAGCACAGUUAAAGAUAGCAAGAUCAGGAUGCAGCCGAUAGUCUAGGAAUGACCAGCUUGGGUUCAGAAUUUCCAAGUAAAAAUACUAGGGGUAUUUGAUUUGUAGUGCAGAAUAAUUUCACUAGUCGGUGUCCUCGGUUGACAACAACCCAGAACCCAUAGAGUGAUUACGACAAGGAAAGACAUUACUUCAACAAAGUUAGUAAGAUGUGGUGCAACGGCAAGACAUCUUCGAGAUACCAGGGGAUAAUACUCGAAGGUAGAACAUGAUAGAAGUAGAACCGGGUCAUUGACCUGUGGCAGUAGAUACUUCAACCUUGCCAAAAAUAGACGAGGCACCGGAAUGAAUUCCCAUCAAAUAUAUUAGAUCAGGGCAGCAUGGUCGGAAUCAUAACUAUAAGGAAUCAAUUUCAAGAAUACCAAAAGAAUCAUACAGCUGGAUAAUCAUUUUGCAAGAAGCUCCUGAGACGGUCUACAUCAUUUUCAUGGGCAUGAACACAAAGUUCAAGGUCGACUCCCACUUCUUUAAUGUAUAUCAUUUCAUUCACCUCUCGCUUUGAUAAAACUGUAGUGUUGGAAUUUUAUCUGGUAGAACACCGGAAGAGUAUGACUUGUGAAAACUUUUGGGUUCUCACGGAUUAGGGGAAGGCAUUGGUUCAACCCAUCGGGCAUCUUAGUAACAUAUACCACAAGUUUCAAAAGUAAAUACACAAGCUCGAAAACAGAGCAUGGUUGGCCAAGCAGAGGAUACAAUGUACCAAAGGCAUUAUGUACGAGGGGAAGGUCUCACAAGGUGAUUGAAUAUGAAGGACACUGUCGGAUAAAAAUCCAACAAUGGAUCGGGCGAUCCACAACGGAGCUGAUGUGAGUAUCGGUACUCACUCAGAGGAAGAAAGAAUGCAGAGGCAUCAGAUUCAAGAAUCACCUAAUUAGUCUGAUGCUUAAAUAGAAAGAAAUUAUGGUUUCCAAAACGAAGGAUCAGAAGCAGACGCUCUGAUCAAGGAUGGAUAAGUUGAAAACACUUAGUUGGACAAUCAAUAAAGGUUUGAAUUGCCGAGAACCAACUCAUGUCCGGAAUGACGCUUGAGCCGGAAAGAUAAUUUUAAAAAGGAUAACCUGAUGGCUGCGUGCGUACACACGCAUUGAAUCAAUAGGCUCAAAAUGACUAAGACAAGGGAUGUUAACGAGGACUACUAGUCAUAUGGAAUUAACCAUAAUGCAAGUAGGCAAGAGUUUCAAGAGUAACAGACUGCAGAGGAUUUUCAAAAGAUCGAAAAGUAUUCCGAAGAAUUAUGUGAGACACAUGAACAAUUGAGAAGAACCGAUCCUCGAUAAAUGUGAUGAAAAAAACCAUAAGGGUUUUCAUGCGAAAUAAAACUGCAAGACAGUAAACUCAAAGGAUUCUCGGACAACGGAGAAUAUCUCGAGGCAUCUUGUAACAACAAGAGCGACGAGGAAUGAUCAAGAGAAUGACAAGUGCAUGUAGAUAUCCAUAGGGAUAUAUCGGUGGCAGUGAAUUGCAAAGGCGAUGAGCACAAGGGUCUUGGGAAAAUAUCGAGGGAUAUCCUCAGAAUCUUCUGACGAAGCAGGUGAUCUUCCGGGAUGAGGGCUCUCCGGGAGAAAUAGUUACGAGAACCUAGAGUUAGAGUUAGCAAAACCAUUUAACCCGAAUAGAAGAGAGAUCAGAGUCCCACAGUAUAGACGAGGAGUAAAAGAUUCUAAUACCACCCAAUGGCGACGUGGGCCCGUAAGCCACACAGCCAAGUUAGUAAAACAGUUUUCGGCUUCUAGACUCAACUUCGGCCAAGGAGUUGGAAAGGGGAUUCCUACAGGCAGUCGGCUCUGAUACCAACUUGUGACGCCCCCGAUUCAAUCGUACACUAAUCAUGCAUGCAAAUGUAUACGAUCAAGAUCAGGGACUCACGGGAAGAUAUCACAACACAACUCUAAAAACAUAAAUAAGUCAUACAAGCAUCAUAAUACAAGCCAGGGGCCUCGAGGGCUCGAAUACAAGUGCUCGAUCAUAGACGAGUCAGCGGAAGCAACAAUAUCUAAGAACAGACAUAAGUUAAACAAGUUUGCCUUAAGAAGGCUAGCACAAACUGGGAUACAGAUCGAAAGAGGCGCAUGCCUCCUGCCUGGGAUCCUCCUAACUACUCCUGGUCAUCGUCCGCGGGCUGCAUGUAGUAGUAGGCACCUCCGGUGUAGUAGGAGUCGUCGCUGAUGGUGGCGUCUGGCUCCUAGGCUCCGGCAUCUGGUUGCGACAACCAGGUAGAAGGGAAAGGGGAAAAGAGGGAGAAAAGCAACCGUGAGUACUCAUCCAAAGUACUCGCAAGCAGGGAGCUACACUACCUAUGCAUGGGUAUAUGUGUAAAGGGCCAUAUCGGUGGACUGAACUUCAGAAUGCCAGAAUAAGAGGGGGAUAGCUAAUCCUGUCGAAGACUACGCUUCUGGCCACCUCCAUCUUGCAGCAUGUAGGAGAGAGUAGAUGGUAAGUUCACCAAGUAGCAUCGUAUAGCAUAAUCCUACCCGACGAUCCCCUCCUCGUCGCCCUGUUAGAGAGCGAUCACCGGGUUAUAUCUGGCACUUGGAAGGGUGUGUUUUAUUAAGUAUCCAGUUCUAGUUGUCAUAAGGUCAAGGUACAACUCCGGGUCGUCCUUUUACCGAGGGACAUGACUAUUCGAAUAGAUAAACUUCCCUGCAGGGGUGCACCACAUAACCCAACACGCUCGAUCCCAUUUGGCCGGACACACUUUUCUGGGUCAUGCCCGGCCGCGGAAGAUCAACACGUCGCAGCCCUACCUAGGCACAACAGAGAGGUCAGCACACCGGUCUAAAUCCUAUGGCGCAGGGGUCUGGGCCCAUCGCCCAUUGCACACCUGCACGUUGCGAGGGCGGCCGGAAGCAGACCUAGCCUAGCAGGCGUUCCAGUCCAAUCCGGCGCGCGCCGCUCAGUCGCUGACGUCACGAAGGCUUCGGCUGAUACCACGACGUCGAGUGCCCAUAACUGUUCCCGCGUAGUUGGUUAGUGCGUAUAGACCAAAUGGCCAGACUCAGAUCAAAUACCAAGAACUCGUUAAGCGUGUUAUUUGAUGUAACCGCGGACACCGACCAGGGUCAGGCCCACCUCUCACCUAGGUAGUCUCAACCUGCCCUAUCGCUCCGCCACAAAGAUCCACCCAGAGGGCCGUCGGGACAAAGGUGCUUUAAGCCCCCAAUCUGUGAAUCACUCGCGGGUACUCCUCGAGCCGACCCGACUUUAGUCACCACAUGUAUCAUGUAUAAAGUAUAUAAGUAUAUACCCGUGAUCACCGCCCAAGUGAUCACGGCCCGAUAGUAUAGCACAGCAGACGGACAAGAAUGUAGGGCCACUGAUGGAAAACUAGCAUCCUAUACUAAGCAUGUAGGAUUGCAGGUAAAGGUAACAACAGUAGUGGCAAAGACAGGCUAUGCAGCAGAAUAGGAUUAACGGAAAGCAGUAACAUGCUACACUACUCUAAGGCAAGAGUAUAGAGAAGAAUAGGCGAUAUCUGGUGAUCAAGGGGGGGGGGCUUGCCUGGUUGCUCUGGCAAGAAGGAGGUGUCAUCAACUCCGUAGUCGAACUAGGCAGUAGCAGCGUCGGUCUCGUAGUCUACCGGAGAGAAGAGGGGGAAGAAACAGUAAAUACAAUGCAAACAUAAGCAUGACGAUGCAUGACAUGUCAAGUAACGGUGACAGGUGUGUCCUAACGCAGUAAGUGGUGAUACCGGCGAAGGGGGCAAACAUCCGGGAAAGUAUCCCCGGUGUUUCGUGUUUUCGGAUAGAUGAACCGGAUGGGGAAAGUUGCAUGUUCGCUAUGCUAGGGAUGGGUGGCGGACGAACGGGCUGCAUAUUCGGAUUCGCCUCGUCGUUCUGAGCAACUUUCAUGUACAAAGUUUUUUCAUCCGAGCUACGGUUUAUUUUAUAUUAAUUUUCGAAGUUUUAAAAGAUUUUCUAAUUUACUAGAAUUAAUUUAAUUCGAAUUUAAAUAGCUAAAAUUAUUAUGUGUACCCAGCUGUGGACUAGCCACAGUGGAUGAGAGGUGGGGCCAGUGGGCCCCAGUCAACACUAUGUCAGCCCGGUCAACAUUGACUAGUCAAAGGUGAACAUUAAUUGUGGGUCCCAGCUGUCAUUGAGUUAGUUUUUUUAGUUAGAAAAAUUAGUUUAAUUACCCCAGGGCCGACAUAUCAUUGGCCCAUUAACUGAUCUAACACUAGUUGACCUAUAGCUAGCUAAUAAGCAAUUAGUCCUAAACUAAAUGGGCUAUCACAUAGGCUGUGAGCCAGCCGGCCUCACACGGCUGGGCACGAACGCACGCAUAUGUGCGGGCCUGUCCAUGGCGUUGGCUAAGGUAGGCACAACGCCGGGGAGAGGAAGGCAAGCAAGCGGGGCGCAGCUGGGCAUGGCAGGCUGGCGCAGGAGCGGGCAGCAGGCGACAGUAGCGCCAACAGCAGCAGAAGAAGAAGUAGUAACAGCAGCAACGCAGCAGCGGGCAGCAAGGGAGCGAGGCCGCGGACAGCGCCGGCGAGGCACGCGGCCGUGGGCGUGAGGGCGCGGGGCAGGCGCGCGCAGGGGAGCGCAGGCUGUAGCAGCGAACGGGCAUACACGACAGUAGCAACACUAGCGCAGCAGUGGAGGUGGCCGGAGCAAGAGGCGACGAGGAACAACAACGACCGGAGUACUAUGGUGAACGACGACUACUGGCUUGGAUCGAGCAGGGAAGAGAGAGAAUCGGGUGAGGACCUCACCGCAAUAUCGUAGGCGAGCUCGAGAAGGUCGGGGGUUGAGCGACGGCGACGAAUUCGUCGAUGACGUCGCGGUGGCUGGAGGUUGAAGACGACAUUGAUCCCUGCGAUCCAGGGGCUCCCGGCUCCAACUGGUGGACGUAGUCGAAGGAGUGGACGUCGGUGAAGCUCGCAGACGAGGUGGCUGGCCGCGGGCAUCUCGGUGGCUACAGGGGCAGCGAGGCAAUGGCCGCGGCAGAGGCGGCCAUGCGAGGAAGUGGAAGAAGCAACGCGAGGCGGAGAGGGGAAAAGGUCCUGGGGGUGCUAGGGUUCGGGGGAGGGGGCUCCUUAUCCAGAGAGGAGCCGUGGGAUGGCCUCCACGGC